rnacentral:rRNA from 1 species
UACGAAGGGGGCUAGCGUUGUUCGGAAUUACUGGGCGUAAAGGGCGCGUAGGCGGUACUUCAAGUCAGGCGUGAAAGCCCCGGGCUCAACCUGGGAACCGCGCUUGAGACUGGAGAACUAGAGUUCGGGAGAGGAUGGUGGAAUUCCCAGUGUAGAGGUGAAAUUCGUAGAUAUUGGGAAGAACACCGAUGGCGAAGGCAGCCAUCUGGACCGACACUGACGCUGAGGCGCGAAAGCGUGGGUAGCAAACAGG